UACAUUCAUUGGGCACUCUAAUGAGACUGCCGGUGACAAACCGGAGGAAGUGGGGAUGACGUCAAGUCCUCAUGGCCCUUAUAGUGGGGCUACACACGUCAUACAAUGGAUGGUACAAAGGGUCGCCAACCCGCGAGGGGGAGCCAAUCCCAUAAAGCCAUUCGUAGUCCGGAUCGCAGUCUGCAACUCGACUGCGUGAAGUCGGAAUCGCUAGUAAUCGUGGAUCAGCAUGUCACGGUGAAUACGUUCCCGGGUCUU
rnacentral:rRNA from 1 species